AACUGAUACUACCUGCGGGAACCUGCGGAGGGAUCAUUACUGAAUGUUACUACAACUAAACCCUUGUGAACUUUGCUAUGUGACUGCCUCGGCAGGUAAUCCCAGGGCGGGGUUUUGAGCCUCUUUACAGGCACCUGCCAGUGGUAGACAAUUUUCAAACUCUGAUUUUAUUGAGCUUCUGAGUGUCUCAAAAAAUAAAUCAAAACUUUUAGCAACGGAUCUCUAGAUCGGAAGAGCACA
rnacentral:misc_RNA from 1 species